rnacentral:rRNA from 1 species
GACGAACGCUGGCGGCGUGCCUAAUACAUGCAAGUCGAGCGGGACUCUUCGGAGUCUAGCGGCGGACGGGUGAGUAACACGUGGGCAACCUGCCUGUAAGACUGGGAUAACACCGGGAAACCGGUGCUAAUAUCGGAUAAUCCUUUUCCUCUCAUGAGGAAAAGCUGAAAGUCGGUUUCGGCUGACACUUACAGAUGGGCCCGCGGCGCAUUAGCUAGUUGGUGAGGUAACGGCUCACCAAGGCGACGAUGCGUAGCCGACCUGAGAGGGUGAUCGGCCGCACGGGGACUGAGACACGGCCCAGACUCCGACGGGAGGCAGCAGUAGGGAAUCUUCCACAAUGGACGAAAGUCUGAUGGAGCAACGCCGCGUGAGCGAUGAAGGCCUUCGGGUCGUAAAGCUCUGUUGUUAGGGAAGAACGAGUACCGGAGUAACUGCCGGUACCUUGACGGUACCUAACCAGAAAGCCACGGCUAACUACGUGCCAGCAGCCGCGGUAAUAC